rnacentral:rRNA from 1 species
GUUCGGAAUUACUGGGCUUAAAGAGUUCGUAGGUGGUUGAAAAAGUUAGUGGUGAAAUCCCAGAGCUUAACUCUGGAACUGCCAUUAAAACUUUCAGCUAGAGUAUGAUAGAGGAAAGCAGAAUUUCUAGUGUAGAGGUGAAAUUCGUAGAUAUUAGAAAGAAUACCAAUUGCGAAGGCAGCUUUCUGGAUCAUUACUGACACUGAGGAACGAAAGCAUGGGUAGCGAAGAGGAUUAGAUACCCUGGUAGUCCACGCCGUAAACGAUCAUCACUCGCUGUUGGCGAUAUACUGUCAGCGGCCAAGCGAAAGUAUUAAGUGAUGCACCUGGGGAGUACGCCGGCAACGGUGAAACUCAAAGGAAUUGACGGGGGCCCGCACAAGCGGUGGAGCAUGUGGUUUAAUUCGAAGCAACGCGCAGAACCUUACCAACCCUUGACAUCCUGUGCUACACGGAGAGAUCCGUGGUUCCCUUCGGGGACGCAGUGACAGGUGCUGCAUGGCU